rnacentral:rRNA from 1 species
UACGGAGGGUGCAAGCGUUAUCCGGAUUCACUGGGUUUAAAGGGUGCGUAGGUGGGCAGGUAAGUCAGUGGUGAAAUCUCCGGGCUUAACCCGGAAACUGCCAUUGAUACUAUCUGUCUUGAAUACCGUGGAGGUGAGCGGAAUAUGUCAUGUAGCGGUGAAAUGCUUAGAUAUGACAUAGAACACCAAAUUGCGAAGGCAGCUCACUACGCGAAUAUUGACACUGAGGCACGAAAAGCGUGGGGGAUCAAAACAGG